AGGGGUAUAGCUCAGUGGUAGAGUGCGUGCUUAGCAUGCACAAGGUCCUAGGUUCAAACCGAAGUACCUCCA
rnacentral:tRNA from 1 species